rnacentral:lncRNA from 1 species
UUUUCAUAAGGUGGAUAUGGGCAUUGUUCCUGCCGCCUAUUCUGAUUGAAAAAAUUCUGUUGAUUCUGACCUCUAUGUCGUUGGUACUGCAAUCCAUAAUUAUUCUGUCUUCUAUUGGUCUGUUCAGGUGCUCGGUAACCCCAUUCAUCCAUUUCAGACGAUGAAGAAGAAGAGAUGACAGCAUGGUUUUUAGAUCUGCUGGACUCACCUCUGGAACGGCCGGUUUUGGGCUGAUCGGACACAAUCUGAUGCACAGUGAGAGCCAGAUUCUCCACCACAGAAGUCAGAUCUGCUAAUGACUUCCUCAGAUCUUCUACAUCCUUUUUUGUGACCAUGUCUGACAUUUCCA